rnacentral:lncRNA from 1 species
UGGAACCAAAAUAAUCCAAACCCUAGACUAAUUCAUGCCUCUCUCCUCUCUUCUCUUCUUCUUCUUUACUCCCGCCCAAAAUACUUCCCCAUAUUUUGCCCAAAUAAUGGGCUCUCGUUCAGCCCCAAUAGAAGAUCUUAGUGUUGAUUGAGGGUGCAAAAACGUUGUUCUUUCUCUUAGUCUCACUUUUCGCAAAAACAUAUGCAUAAGACAUGUCAAUUAUGACCUACGAUGAAACGAACGGGCAAUCGUUGAGGUCUUGCGAUGAGAUGAUAUCCAUUACGAGUCAUGGCUAGUAAAGUACAGAAAAUCAUACAACGCUUUGGGAGAAAAGGAGAAGAGGUUCGAGAUCUUUUAGGAUAAUUUAAGGUACAUAGAUAAGCAGAACAGCAUGGCAAAUCGGACCCAUAAACUGGGUUUGAACUGAUUCACUGAUCUCACCAGUGAGGAGAACUGGUCCAUGUAUUUGGUGCUAGGAAGACGAAGAGUGAUCAAUAUAAACCGAAAGAUGGCAACAACUUGCCAGGAUCCAUUGACUGGAGAGACAAAGGCGCGGCCGCUUUGGUGAAAGAUCAAGGCAACUGCGGUAUGCCCUUUUAUUUAUUAUUCCAUAGAAAAUUUCUCAAUUAGAUUUUAUACAGCUUUAAAGUAUAGUGAAAAUUAAUCCAUUUUGUUGAAUAAAAAAAAAAAAAGGGAAUUGGUCCAAAUUAAUCCAUUUUAUGGUGAUUAGGCUUAAUCAGCUGGCUUAGUGGGAAAUUAUGGUUGUUCUGUCAAAUAACUUGGUCCAGCAAGUAAUUGAGCAUACUAUAAAAUAAAAUAAAAACCAUUGAGGCUGGAGAAAUCGGUAUGGAUUUAAUCCUUCUUCUUGGGUUUCAGUUUCUUACUUCUGAAUUUUUAUUACGGUUUAACAUCGUUUGAUUAAUUAGUUGUUCUAUUUUCCCCCUUUUGUUUUUGAUGUUUGAAGCCUUUAAUUAUGUCGUCAUGCCAUUCCACAUCCCCUUCACCUUUGCAGUCAGCCUUGGAGUGAGGAAACAACUUGGUUUCCUUAUAUCCGAGCUAUAUAGAGAGAAAAAAUCAGCUAAACCAAAAAAGGAGAGAAGAGGAAGAAGAAAACGGAGAUAACAAGCAUAAAUGAGAUUUGAAUCCAUAGUUGAGUUGUGGAGAUUGAAGGAUGCAGAUUGAAGUUUAAUUCAUGAUAGGAUCUGCACUUAGUACUUGGCACAGAUGCCAUGUGAAAAACACUUGUUGGAUAUUGGUUAAAUAAAUCGAGAAUUGAAAAUCGAUUAAAAUUCGUAUCGACUUCGGCCAAAUACUCAAAAGCUCGACUCAAUCCGUUUAGGCAAAAUUUUGAUUUCUCUGCAUGUAUUGAAGGGUAUAUUUGGCAUUUCGAAAAUCAAUAUCGGAUGAAUGAGAAAUUACGAAAAAGGACGAAAAUCAGUUAAUAAACACCUUUUCAUAAUGCUGCAUUGUUUGGAAAUGGUGAAUGGUUUGGCCUCAACCAUUUCGUUCACACCCUUUCAUGGUCUAUAAAUAGGACCCUUUGGGUGUCCUAUUCCACACAAUUUGAUAUGCAAAACGUCUCUCAUCCUCUCUUUUAUCCAAAAUCAAAAUCAUUUUAUUUAUUUUGAUUUUCUUUCAUUUCAUCAUUGGAGUACAUAAGCCUAAAUUUGGUUCGUUGUACUUGUGUUUUGGAGUGCUACAAAUACAAGUGUAGCCGUUGUAUCUUGGGAGUCGAUUGCCGAAAUCCGUAGACAUCGUUGCGGGGCAAAUUCGACUUAAGGACAAAGAGUCCAACUCUUGCCUCGGCUUUGUCACCAUCAUUAUACUUAUUUCGGCGUCACUAUUCACAAAAUUCAUCCAACAACAUUGUCAUCGAAGUUGUUUUAAGUCACAAGUGAACACAAGGUUAAAUUGAUUAUUGGUGCUCAAUUAAGCAAAAACUAUCUCUCUAGCUACCAAAUAGUUAAUUGAUUUUAAUUUCUUGACAGGACACAAUCUCAAGACAUUUAUUUUAUCUGGGAUUUGUGCAUAAAUUUUUCUAAACUUUUAUUCUAAUUAUUAUGGCAGAUUAGUUGUAAUUUUGGCAUAUUGAACAGGUCUCAACUUUUUUCUGAAGUGAAAAUGGCUGUAGCUUUAGCUUCAAGUUUGCAAAUUACAGCCUUUAAAUCCUCUAUUUUCUCAGCUGGAAGAAUCAUAAGAGCACGCAUGGCAAGUGGUGGCACCGAUAAUCAAGGGGCAUCGUGGUCUAAGCUUUCUAUUGCUUGUCACGUAUCAUCUUGACAACUCUUCCACCGUACUUUCACAUCUCCCUCAAAAUUUAAUAAAUUCGUCACAAAGGCAAUGCCCGAAGGUGGUGAAAAUAAGCCUGCACCUAGAUUGCCGAUUAAUUUGAAGGGUGCUUUUUAUUUUUAUUUUUCCUUUUGUUACUGGAUUCUGGAAGACCCUUUUCUACAGUAAAAAUCAUAUGUUCAAGCAUACUUUUUGUGCAAUCUUUCUAUAUUUUCUUUCAUGGAUAACUAAAUCCGACCUUUCACUAAACGUGUGCUUUCAUUAUUCAUGAAGGAAAUAUGGAACACUUUAUAUGUGAAAGACCUAUUAUUGGAUAAUUCAUGGGUAGAGCCAAAGAGUGUGGUGUGAACUAUCUCUCUCGAUACAUUAAUUCCUCAAAAAAUCAAUUUCAUGCAGAUUCUUCCCCCAACUAAGGAAUUGUUUGAUUACCUUGUCUAAUUUCUUUUCUCAUUAUAUAAUUGAUAAUUGAUUUAGAUUGCAUCUUCACACCCUUUAAUUUUAAUAUUUAAAUUAUUUUUAAAUUUUUUAUAUUUUGUUCAGGUUGCUAACGGGGACUAGGAGAGUGGAUCUAGCCGUAAGAAGAAUGUUAGGUAUAAAUAACUCACUUCUUGGUGACAUAUAAGAGUUUCUGAAUCAAAUCUCUUUAGAAAGAAGAUCUUUUGUCUCAUGGUAGCCUGUUGCUGUGAGCGAAAUGGGAGCAGCCUAAACCGUGAAAACGGGAUUGUGGGAGAGCAAUACAAGCAUCGUGUUGCUAGGAGAAUUCAAAAGAAUUAAUAGAAUUCGAGGUAUAAAAUAGGUAAGUGUAACAAAAAGAAUUUCAAAUAUCAUGUGAAUUCAAACAAAUCCAUUGUCUUACUUAUUAUUUACGAUGGCUUUGAUUUAUUAUUACUUUAUUGAUUUUGAUCUUCUUGUUUGUAAUACUAAUCGAUAGGGCCUCAUUGGUAAGUGCUACAAGAUCUCGUGCAUUGGAACCCAUGGUUAUGGACCCGAAUUAAUUAGUAUGGAAUAUUUUCU